CCUACGGGUGACAGCAGUGGGGGAUAUUGCACAAUGGGGGGAACCCUGAUGCAGCGACGCCGCGUGGGUGAAGAAGCGCCUCGGCGCGUAAAGCCCUGUCAGCAGGGAAGAAAAUGACGGUACCUGAAGCAGAAGCUACGGCAAACUACGGACCAGCAGCCGCGGUAAUACGGGGGAUGCGAGGUUUAUCCGGAUUUAUGGGGGUAAAAGGGUGCGUAGGCGGAAUGCCAAGUCAGCGGGAAAAUCGCGGGGCUCACCCUCGCUCCGCCGUUGAAACUGGCGUUCUUGAGUGGGCGAGAGGGAUGCGGAAUGCGUGGGGUAGCGGUGAAAUGCAUAGAUAUCACGCAGAACUCCGAUUGCGAAGGCAGCAUACCGGCGCCCAACUGACGCUGAAGCACGAAAGCGUGGGUAUCGAACAGGAUUAGAUACCCCUGUAGUC
rnacentral:rRNA from 1 species